GGCUCCCCGCCGGAAGGGGCCAUAAGACGCGCGUGGCUUUUGCCACAGCCGGAUACUUCGGCCAUGCGUCUGCCGUGGGGCCAAGGGCCCCGGCUUAUCAUCGAAAGCGAACACGGCGUAGAUUACUCAAC
rnacentral:ncRNA from 1 species